UACAGAGGUCUCAAGCGUUGUUCGGAUUCAUUGGGCGUAAAGGGUGCGUAGGCGGCGCGGUAAGUCGGGUGUGAAAUCUCGGAGCUUAACUCCGAAACUGCAUUCGAUACUGCCGUGCUUGAGGACUGGAGAGGAGACUGGAAUUUACGGUGUAGCGGUGAAAUGCGUAGAUAUCGUAAGGAAGACCGGUGGCGAAGGCGGGUCUCUGGGCCGAUACUGACGCUGAGGAGCGAAAGCGUGGGGAGCGAACAGG
rnacentral:rRNA from 1 species